GACAGAGGGUGCAAACGUUGUUCGGAUUUACUGGGCGUAAAGCGCGUGUAGGCGGCUUUGCAAGUCGGAUGUGAAAGCCCACGGCUCAACCGUGGAAGUGCAUCCGAAACUGCAUGGCUCGAGUCUCGGAGAGGAAGGUGGAAUGCUUGGUGUAGAGGUGAAAUUCGUAGAUAUUGGGAAGAACACCGGUGGCGAAGGCGGCCAUCUGGACCGCAACUGACGCUGAGGCGCGAAAGCGUGGGGAGCAAACAGG
rnacentral:rRNA from 1 species